CUCAAUUUCAUUAAAUGAAGCAACCUUAAAUGAGAUACAUGAAUCAUAAAACUGGAAAGUCAUACAUCCCUAUGCUUUCUGUCACUGUGGCAGCCCAGAUUGAAUUGGGGAGUACAUUU
ensembl:snoRNA